UAGGGGCCAUCUCGCAGGGAAGUCGUGAGCGUGCAAAGACUCUUUGCUACCUUCAAACGUCUGCGCACAUCCACACAAUUAGGCUCUUAACCGGACCAAGACUGUCACCACCUACCGCAGUCUCGGGCCCCUUCCCCUAAACCCGGAGUUGUAGGGCGUGGAAAUUCCAACUGUCUGCCCCGGGAUGCCUCCUGCCGACCUCUCCCAACCGCCUCACCUGGCGCCCCGCAACGUCCACUCCAGCCACCUGGCUUUCUCGCCAGAAGCCUAGCGCCUCCACGCCUCAGGGCCUUUGUACCUGCUGUUCUCCCGGCCUGGAAUGCGCCUCCUUCGACUUCUCACAGCCAAAUCCCACCGACCUCGAAGAAAUGACACCCCCUCCGAGAGGCUUUUCUAGGCCCCUCCCCUACUCCCUACGCCGGCCACGAUGUGACUGUUGGGCAGGGGGGAAAACCAAGCGGCGGCUACACACAGUGGGGCCCCCAUCCCUUUGGGCUCAAUGCCCAACCGUGGGGACCACACCGUCAACUGGAGGACCUUGAACACCCGCUCCACCUGGGUCUGUGCAGACACACCGGCGGGCGCGGGGCCCGCGUUUCCACGCAGAUUCUUCACGAGGGAAACUCCCGUGUGAUGCGCGAUAAAGAAACUGAGUCCCGACGAGCUAGCGACUCGACCCGCCCUCCGGCGGGGGCAGAGGUUGGAUUCCUGUCGCCUCGCCGAGCCCCCUCCCCUUCUGUACGGCCCCGGGGCGGGGCCUCGGCGUUCUCUCCGGAUGCUCAGCCGGCGCCGACCCCAAAAGGAAAUGUGCGGCGGAGGGCUGAGUGAACCCCGGACCUCGCCCCUGGCCUGAGCAGGGCGGCUCGCUUUCCACUCCCUUCGUCUUUCCCUCUGUGAAGGCUGGAACCUGGCCGACUGUGCCACUGAGGGUCAGGGGAGCUAACGCGGGGAUAGGGCACUGGGCAUAGGGCACUGGGCAGCACUGCUGCCCCCCUCCCGUCGCUAUUCCCUUCACCUCUUACUCCGACCCCCCCCCUUCACCCUCCAUCGUCUCCUCCGAGCCUUCGCUGGUGCGGGUCUCCUCCCAGCGAGACCUGCCCUCUUCUCACGCUUAUUGGUGCACUUUCCGCCGGGGCGGAGUGGAUGCGGAGUGAGCCCAGACGCCCGUGCAGUGUGGGGGUCUGGGGUCUGUGGGGACAGAGUUG
rnacentral:lncRNA from 1 species